rnacentral:tRNA from 1 species
GCGCUGCUAGCUCAAUGGUAGAGCAACUGACUCUUAAUCAGUGUGUUGAUGGUUCGAGUCCAUCGCGGCGCACCA